GCGCUCACUUCGGCAGCACAUAAACUAAAACUGGAACCAUAGAGCAUAGAUGCUAAAAUUGGAACAAUACAUAUGCUAAAAUUGGAACAAUCAGCAGGGCCCCUGCACAAGGAUGGCAUGCAAAUCUGUGAAGCACUCCAUAUUUUU
rnacentral:snRNA from 1 species